CAAUAAGUCACCCGUGUCUUUACAGCCUACACACAUAAAGCAGAGUUUGAUGGAUGCAAACAGUGGCAAUGUACUUGAGAUCAGAGAUGUCUGAGAUUUCUGAUUACAUGAACUACAGUGAGAAAGGAGGAGAGUGCGUAGAAAUGGUGGUGGACAUCUACGACAGCGUGGACGCUGUUAAAGAUCAUAAACCUAAUGCAGAGACAGAAGCAGUGGAUGUAAAGAGCAUAAAGAAUGAACCCACAGGUUCUGGUGAAAUGGAGAUCCAAAUGAUUUUAAUAAUGAAGACUGUGCUAUAACAAACUACAAACAUGCCAACUAUAAUAUCUCAACCUGGGCUGAUUAUCCCUGUAGCUAUGUAGUAGCUGGGAUUUGUGAGAUGAAAAUAUUUAACUGAGCACCUGGGAUUCAGUCUUGAAUGUAGCUUGAAUGAUUCUGUAUAACAGCUUUUACAACUUCUGUAAAUUUAAAAAAAGUGGCUUAAACUUAAUUCUAUAUUUAAAUACAUCCUGGUUUCGGAUUUACGAAGAGCUGGAUUGACAAGCCAUGCUUUGAAGAAGAAGAGCAAGUCUGUGAAAAGAAAAGUACUUUCAUUUUAGAAACUUGAAUAAACGUCUUACAAAUGAAACACUGCCUACUUCUACAUUACUCUACCUGUGUCUUGGUCUCUAUUAUUAUUUUUAACCAGUGGCCACAUGACCAUAACAACCACAUUUCAGGAAGAGAGAAUAAAUGAGUACAGUAGUUACCAGUUUUACGUCGUUUUGACUUAUGUCGAUUCUGACUAUACAUCGCUCAUCCUUAAAUAUUAAAUUGAAAAAUUAAAUCCAAUUUACGGCGCUUUACACAACCUUACGUCGGUCCCUCCAUCACAUAGUAACAAUGAAAAAUGGCUAAUAAAACCAAACUGAACCAAAUUCUUUUUAUAAAAUAAGAAAAUACAUAUAUUCAGUCAUAGUGUCAUUAUAGGGUACACAACAUAUACAGCAGUUUAUAGGGGCAUUUCUGACUUACAGUGAAAAUCGACUUGGAACCAAUUAAUGACAUAGGGUGGGGUAUGACUGUAUCUAUAUUCAUGUGCUGUUACAUAUUCAUUUCAUUCAUAACUAAAAAUUUUGGCAGUAAUGAAGCUUGGAUUGGAGUGAUUGACAGUAACACAGAGAAGGAAUUUAAAUGGGUGGAUGGUUCAUCAUUGACUACUAAGUAAGACAUCAGUGAACUGAAAUUGGAAAGUGUCCUCCACAACCAAAUGGUUGUAUGACAUAGAGUCUCUCAUUAAAGGUUUCUGGUCUGGAAGCAGGCAGAGAGUUAGGGGCUGGAUUUUCAGGGAUGGACAAAUGUGGCAGGCUGUGAGACAGGACUUGGAGUAGUAUGGGAUACCAUGCCUGGGACUGGCAUGCCAGUUUUUCUCGGUUUUUAACGGAUGUUUUCGGGAGAUGCCGUAAACAAGCAUGUAAAAUAUUACUAGUCCUAGAAACAUGGUUCCAAUGUUAAAAUGUUGCCCAUGUUAUGCUUAAGUGUGCUAUUACUUUUCAUGCUGAUAAGUAUUAUAGUUUAGUUUAUAUGGAUUUUUAAAUGUAUUUUUCAAGGACUUCAGACCGCUACUGUGUGUGUGAUGUCAGCUAGAGUGAGGGAAGAGAUUUUUUUAAGGACACAUCAUCUUUAAACUGUUCCUACAGCUUGAAUUCUUACUCUACAGCCACAUAAACUACCUUAAACUUUUUAAACUGUGACUUUUGCUUUUAAAUAUUAUUUUAGCAUGUCUUGCAAUAGUUUAAGCAACAUAUUCGCAAUCACACUCACAUUUUCUUCUGGAAAUGCAACAUUCUAGUUUAUCUUUAUGAUGGUUCUUAGGUAACAUAAAACAGAUCACAAAAAAGAUGUUACUCAAAACACACCAGGAGGUCACUAACAAAAGUUUUAAUAAAUAAGAAAAAGAAGAAAUACUAUAAAGAAGUAUUAAAUUGCAUGAAGGAUUUAAUCUGCCAUUUAAACAGAAGCGGGAGAUUGGAAUGGGGAAGAAAAAGACAAUAUUUUAAUCUCGUAGUUGAUAGUGAUCAUACAAUCUCAAACACAGCCAGGUGUUUUGGAUUCAAUUUGUACAGUGUGACAAGUUUGCAGAAAUCUUGAUGUCCAAAUCAAUCAGAUUAUUAAUAUGUAGCCUGUAAGUCUGAGCUGUAAGUCACUCUGGAUAAAGGUAUCAAAUGUAAAUAAAUUGUAAGUAAACUGACAAAAGGAAUACCACUGUUUUGAUUGUUUAAAGAAUAUAGGUAACAUAAUUGUUAAUCUGUGUUCAUUCAU